GGAAAAUUGAAACGGUAUUAAUAGAAAUAAAAACUAGUGAAAAUUGCCCAAAAACUCGGGAAGAAAAAUUUUUCGUAGUGGAGAUGGUUUGGUGGCGCUUGGAAUAAAUCAAAAAACCGUUUAUCGUUGGAACAUCUAAAAUAUUUAUAUAAUUUAGAACGAGACAAGAGAACUAGUCGCGUUGCAGUUCGUCCAUGGAGAGUAGGCAACUUCCUAUAAUGGCUGUCUUCUGUUGUGGCGACUGCUAAUCUAAAAAAAGGAGUACAGGUACGAUUUGCAGCUGCAUUUUGCUGGAAACUAUACUGCCUACGGAGUGCAACCACGUUAUCGAUUCCGAUAAACUUUAAGUUAAUUGAUGUGCCAAUGAGGGAUGAAACAAUGGCCUAACUGUGCAGGAUUUCGCGGUCGCCUUCGAUUGCAGUCUAUAUUAAGAAGACUGGCAAUUUAAGUAAUCUACACAAGUUAACAGACUUUAUUAUCGUCAAAUAUUUUAAAGCUCAAAUAUUUUGAAAUUCAAUUCUUCCUCUUGCUCCCUUACCUUUAAUCUGGUUUACGAUAAGCUCUUUCAACAUAGUACACCAAAUUUUGGAUAAAAGCCACUUCACCCUUUAAGAAAAAUAUUUAAUUUUUAAUAUAAUGUAAAAAGUAUUGUUCAUUUUAACUUACCUGCGUAUAGAUAAUUUGCAAACCCGAAGUAAUCAUUUUAACUAAAAAAAUUAUAUACAAAGAGACCACAUCUAUUUGCAAAUGAUUGCAAAAAUCGUCGGAAUAUAUUUCCUCCCCAGCGUGCAAAUGAAAUUUACUAUGUAGAGCAUGUUGAUUGGAUUGCAUCUGUUUGAAAAGUUCGAUACGACAAGCUUGCUUUAUCCAGCAUUGUUAAAUGCCACGCAUGCACUUCACUCUUGAUCAGCCUAGCUCAUAGGAUUUACCACGAUCAUCGUUACGCUCACAUAAUGCCACACAAAUAAACUUGUAAAUGAAGUACAAUAGAAACAACGAAACGAGUUUCAAUUGUCGGGAAAUUUUAUUUUAUUUUUUGUUGGGAAGAAAAAAGAAGUGACUAAAAAUAAUUUCUUCUUAUAAACAAAAUAGCUUUAUGGAUGGUGAAAGCUAACUAGUGAAAUGCCGCCCCAGAUUUGUAAGACGCAAAAUGGAUCUAUUUUGUGAUAAAAACUUGUAGCCUAGACGGCCAAUAUUUCGAAUCAAAAAUUUGCUACUAGUUCCUCGCAACGUCCCUUCCAUAGACGGAAUUGGCACCAAUUAAAACCAAAUUGAGUAAAUUUCUUAAAGUAAACUUUGGGCCGGUAACUUUUCACCGUUUAUUGCGCUCCGCUGUGAAGCUUUUUAUAAGGAUUUUUAAUACGCAAAUCACGAGAAGUGAUAUAUUGGCGGAAUAAUGUAAUGGAAGUGCGGACAUUGACUAUAUAAGAAGCGCCACUAUGGUGUAAUGUCUAAAAGUGUGAAAGAAAUUCCUAGAACGCUUUCUAAAUGUCCUGCAAAUUCGUCGUAUUUUCGCUCAGCAAAUGACAAAUUUGUGCCUUUCGUAAAACAAUAUUCGCACGACACAAACUUUGGAAGAUACCGAAAUAAUUACGUUGAACGAUGCUGAAGUGAUCGAGGAAAUGGUGAAUAUAUUUCAAGUUCUGGAAUGACAAUAUCCUUCAACAUAUGAGAAAUAUAUCAAAGAGCCUUUGUCUAAUCUCUAAUUAAAGGAAAGGAAUAAUCGGAAAAAAGCUGAUUAUUAAAAGCAAAAUGCUAUACUUUUAUCGUCUGUCCAAACACCUUUAAAAACCCGGAAACUAUUGCCAGAAUUGAAAAAUUGUUAUUUGGAUCGUGCAUGAGAUGACAAUGAGGAACUGUUGAGAAAUAUAUCAACACAUCUCUCAACCUACGCAGCGACUUUGCGUGAAACUUUUGACAGGCCGAGAAUGAAAUUUAGAUUAGAAGUCGCAUUAUAUAGAGACUUGCAUUAUAUAGACUUGCAUUGUACAGUAUUUGUUUAAAGCCUUUGCAGACGUCUCUAAAGAAGCGUUAUAUCCAACCGAACAAAAGCAAUGAGUGAAAAUAGUAAAGGAAUUAUUUGAUAGAUAUUUAAAGAUCCGCGAGCAAAACUGAUAUUUGUAAUUAAUUUUUACUUGCAUGAAAGAAAGGUCAGUAGAUUUGUGGAUUUGCGUAUGCGGCUAUUAAAAAACAACGCACAACAUAAUAAAAAGGCUAGAAAAUUGACUCUGAGAAACGAUCAUACCGUUACAAUUACUUCGGCCGUAAGCUUGUAGCAGGGAUUCGUGAACCAGCUGGACUACUAAGUGAGAAUACUUUUGAAAAUCGUAUCAGAAAUCCGACCAUUUUAGAACUAGUUGUGCGAAUUUCUGAAGAGUUGGAAUAAAAUAUAUUAUGAGAAAUUUCUAAAUACAUGUCAAUUAGAAUAUAUGAAAUUAUUUUUUUUAUUAUUAUAGUAUAAGAGAAUUCCGGAAUGACCUUUUCUUUCUAACAGUAAAUGAACAAUUAGGAAAAUCUGUUCAAAAAAAUAAAUACUAUCUAAAGAGAGCAUUUCCUGAGGGCCUCAUUAAAAAAAACCUGAAUCACAGCAAAAUCCGUUGAUCCUUCUUUCCUAUCAUACAGAGCUAUUUCCCCAGCAGCAC